rnacentral:misc_RNA from 1 species
GAAUCAAUUUAUCAUACAACACCACUAUAUGCAGUUGUUCUUGUCAAUCCUCGACUUCGCAUAGCCUGUCUAGUGACAAAUGCAUCAUCCCAUUUUCCGGCAUCUGCAUAAAUGUUAGACAGAAGGACCCUACUAGGACCAUGAGAUGGCUCCACUCUUGCCAAGUUCUCUGCUGCCCUUUCACCUAUUUCUGUGUUGCCAUGAGUUCUACAAGCAGCCAA